rnacentral:rRNA from 1 species
AGAGUUUGAUCCUGGCUCAGGACGAACGCUGGCGGCGUGCCUAACACAUGCAAGUCGAACGAGAAUCUUUGAACAGAUCUUUUCGGAGUGACGUUCAAAGAGGAAAGUGGCGGACGGGCGAGUAACGCGUGAGUAACCUGCCCAUAAGAGGGGGAUAAUCCAUGGAAACGUGGACUAAUACCGCAUAUUGUAGUUAAGUUGCAUGACUUGAUUAUGAAAGAUUUAUCGCUUAUGGAUGGACUCGCGUCAGAUUAGAUAGUUGGUGAGGUAACGGCUCACCAAGUCAACGAUCUGUAGCCGAACUGAGAGGUUGAUCGGCCGCAUUGGGACUGAGACACGGCCCAGACUCCUACGGGAGGCAGCAGUGGGGAAUAUUGCGCAAUGGGGGCAACCCUGACGCAGCAACGCCGCGUGCAGGAAGAAGGUCUUCGGAUUGUAAACUGUUGUCGCAAGGGAAGAAGACAGUGACGGUACCUUGUGAGAAAGUCACGGCUAACUACGUGCCAGCAGCCGCGGUAAUACGUAGGUGACAAGCGUUGUCCGGAUUUACUGGGUGUAAAGGGCGCGUAGGCGGACUGUCAAGUCAGUCGUGAAAUACCGGGGCUUAACCCCGGGGCUGCGAUUGAAACUGACAGCCUUGAGUAUCGGAGAGGAAAGCGGAAUUCCUAGUGUAGCGGUGAAAUGCGUAGAUAUUAGGAGGAACACCAGUGGCGAAGGCGGCUUUCUGGACGACAACUGACGCUGAGGCGCGAAAGUGUGGGGAGCAAACAGGAUUAGAUACCCUGGUAGUCCACACCGUAAACGAUGGAUACUAGGUGUAGGAGGUAUCGACCCCUUCUGUGCCGCAGUUAACACAAUAAGUAUCCCACCUGGGGAGUACGACCGCAAGGUUGAAACUCAAAGGAAUUGACGGGGGCCCGCACAA